rnacentral:rRNA from 1 species
UACAGAGGGUGCAAGCGUUAAUCGGAAUUACUGGGCGUAAAGCGUGCGCAGACGGUUGCGUAAGUCAGAUGUGAAAACUCGGGGCUCAACCCCGGGCGUGCAUCCGAUACUGCCGGGCUUGAGGCAGGUAGGGGAGAUCGGAAUUCCUGGUCGUAGCGGUGAAAUGACGCAGAUAUCAGGAGGAACACCGGUGGCGAAGGCGGAUCUCUGGGCCUGUCCUGACGCUGAGGCGCGAAAGCUAGGGGAGCGAACAGG